AAGACUAUAGACCUGCGGAGUACCUGGGAGGGAUCAUUACUGGGUUUUUGGGCUCUGCCCGCCACCCGCCCUCUGUUAUUCGUGACUAUUGUUUCGGCCAGUGGGGGCGACCCCCGGCCGGCAGUAACUCUGAAGCAUCUUGAAGUCUGAUAAACUGUCAAUAAAAAAAACUUUUAACAAUGGAUCUCU
rnacentral:misc_RNA from 1 species